rnacentral:rRNA from 1 species
GCUAUANAUGCAGUCGGACGGGAUUCANCAGCUUGCUGUUGAUGAGAGUGGCGCACGGGUGCGUAACGCGUGAGCAACCUGCCCAUUUCAGGGGGAUAGCCCGGAGAAAUCCGGAUUAAGACCGCAUAUGAUCACGUUACCGCAUGGUAGAGUGAUGAAAUAUUCAUAGGAAAUGGAUGGGCUCGCGUGACAUUAGCUAGUUGGUAGGGUAACGGCCUACCAAGGCGACGAUGUCUAGGGGCUCUGAGAGGAGAAUCCCCCACACUGGUACUGAGACACGGACCAGACUCCUACGGGAGGCAGCAGUAAGGAAUAUUGGUCAAUGGGGGGAACCCUGAACCAGCCAUGCCGCGUGCAGGAAGACGGCCCUACGGGUUGUAAACUGCUUUUGCACGGGAAUAACCCUCAUUAUGUAUAAUGAGCUGAAUGUACCGUGAGAAUAAGGAUCGGCUAACUCCGUGCCAGCAGCCGCGGUAAUACGGAGGAUCCGAGCGUUAUCCGGAAUUAUUGGGUUUAAAGGGUGCGCAGGCGGGGAUCUAAGUCAGGGGUGAAAGACGGUGGCUCAACCAUCGCAGUGCCUUUGAUACUGGAUUCCUUGAAUAUACCUGAGGUAGGCGGAAUGUGGCAAGUAGCGGUGAAAUNNCGUAGAA